rnacentral:rRNA from 1 species
GGGCGUUAAGUUGCAGGGUAUAGACCCGAAACCCGGUGAUCUAGCCAUGGGCAGGUUGAAGGUUGGGUAACACUAACUGGAGGACCGAACCGACUAAUGUUGAAAAAUUAGCGGAUGACCUGUGGCUGGGGGUGAAAGGCCAAUCAAACCGGGAGAUAGCUGGUUCUCCCCGAAAGCUAUUUAGGUAGCGCCUCGUGAAUUCAUCUCCGGGGGUAGAGCACUGUUUCGGCUAGGGGGCCAUCCCGGCUUACCAACCCGAUGCAAACUGCGAAUACCGGAGAAUGUUAUCACGGGAGACACACGGCGGGUGCUAACGUCCGUCGUGAAGAGGGAAACAACCCAGACCGCCAGCUAAGGUCCCAAAGUCAUGGUUAAGUGGGAAACGAUGUGGGAAGGCCCAGACAGCCAGGAUGUUGGCUUAGAAGCAGCCAUCAUUUAAAGAAAGCGUAAUAGCUCACUGGUCGAGUCGGCCUGCGCGGAAGAUGUAACGGGGCUAAACCAUGCACCGAAGCUGCGGCAGCGAACGUAUCACCCAAGACAACUUUACGGAGUUGACGAUUGACGGAGCGAAGCGACGUCAAAGCGUUCAUUAAAGUCGAGUUGGCUUAGGGAUACGUUCGUUGGGUAGGGGAGCGUUCUGUAAGCCUGUGAAGGUGUGUCGUGAGGCAUGCUGGAGGUAUCAGAAGUGCGAAUGCUGACAUAAGUAACGAUAAAGCGGGUGAAAAGCCCGCUCGCCGGAAGACCAAGGGUUCCUGUCCAACGUUAAUCGGGGCAGGGUGAGUCGACCCCUAAGGCGAGGCCGAAAGGCGUAGUCGAUGGGAAACGGGUUAAUAUUCCCGUACUUGGUGUUACUGCGAAGGGGGGACGGAGAAGGCUAUGUUGGCCGGGCGACGGUUGUCCCGGUUUAAGCGUGUAGGUGUGUGUUCCAGGUAAAUCCGGUUCACUUUAACACUGAGGCGUGACGACGAGGCACUACGGUGCUGAAGCAACAAAUGCCCUGCUUCCAGGAAAAGCCUCUAAGCAUCAGGUAACAYSAAAUCGUACCCCAAACCGACACAGGUGGUCAGGUAGAGAAUACCAAGGCGCUUGAGAGAACUCGGGUGAAGGAACUAGGCAAAAUGGUGCCGUAACUUCGGGAGAAGGCACGCUGACACGUAGGUGAAGUGAUUUACUCAUGGAGCUGAAGUCAGUCGAAGAUACCAGCUGGCUGCAACUGUUUAUUAAAAACACAGCACUGUGCAAACACGAAAGUGGACGUAUACGGUGUGACGCCUGCCCGGUGCCGGAAGGUUAAUUGAUGGGGUCAGCGYAAGCGAAGCUCCUGAUCGAAGCCCCGGUAAACGGCGGCCGUAACUAUAACGGUCCUAAGGUAGCGAAAUUCCUUGUCGGGUAAGUUCCGACCUGCACGAAUGGCGUAAUGAUGGCCAGGCUGUCUCCACCCGAGACUCAGUGAAAUUGAACUCGCUGUGAAGAUGCAGUGUACCCGCGGCAAGACGGAAAGACCCCGUGAACCUUUACUAUAGCUUGACACUGAACAUUGAGCCUUGAUGUGUAGGAUAGGUGGGAGGCUUUGAAGUGUGGACGCCAGUCUGCAUGGAGCCGACCUUGAAAUACCACCCUUUAAUGUUUGAUGUUCUAACGUGGACCCGUWAYCCGGGUUGCGGACAGUGUCUGGUGGGUAGUUUGACUGGGGCGGUCUCCUCCUAAAGAGUAACGGAGGAGCACGAAGGUUGGCUAAUCCUGGUCGGACAUCAGGAGGUUAGUGCAAUGGCAUAAGCCAGCUUGACUGCGAGCGUGACGGCGCGAGCAGGUGCGAAAGCAGGUCAUAGUGAUCCGGUGGUUCUGAAUGGAAGGGCCAUCGCUCAACGGAUAAAAGGUACUCCGGGGAUAACAGGCUGAUACCGCCCAAGAGUUCAUAUCGACGGCGGUGUUUGGCACCUCGAUGUCGGCUCAUCACAUCCUGGGGCUGAAGUAGGUCCCAAGGGUAUGGCUGUUCGCCAUUUAAAGUGGUACGCGAGCUGGGUUUAGAACGUCGUGAGACAGGUUCUCCCUGAGACUUAGAGUCUCCUGAAGGAACGUUGAAGACGACGACGUUGAUAGGCCGGGUGUGUAAGCGCAGCGAUGCGUUGAGCUAACCGGUACUAAUGAACCGUGAGGCUUAACCUU